UUCAAACUGUGCCCCGUGGCCAAUGGCAGCCGUCCCCUGGCGCUGGCCAAUCACAGCGCGUUGCUGCCCAUAAAUAGCGGUCCCGUGGCCGCUGCCCGCGCAGUGUUCUACUACUCCGCGGCCAGGGCUCUUCUGCGGAACAUGGCGCGCACGAAGCAGACAGCGCGUAAGUCGACGGGCGGGAAGGCGCCCCGCAAGCAGCUGGCCACCAAGGCUGCCCGCAAGAGCGCGCCGGCCACGGGCGGUGUCAAGAAGCCGCACCGCUACCGGCCCGGCACGGUGGCGCUGCGCGAGAUCCGGCGCUACCAGAAGUCGACGGAGCUGCUGAUCCGCAAGCUGCCCUUCCAGCGCCUGGUGCGCGAGAUCGCGCAGGACUUCAAGACGGACCUGCGCUUCCAGAGCUCGGCCGUCAUGGCGCUGCAGGAGGCCAGCGAGGCCUACCUGGUGGGGCUCUUCGAGGACACCAACCUGUGCGCCAUCCACGCCAAGCGCGUCACCAUCAUGCCCAAGGACAUCCAGCUGGCCCGCCGCAUCCGCGGCGAGCGCGCAUAAGCUGUUGGCUAGCGGAAAUUUGAGACCAUCGAAAACCCAAAGGCUCUUUUAAGAGCCACCACAACGUCACUAAAGGGCUGUAAAUUCCUUAAUAGCGGUAGGAAGUUUUUUGGGUGGCCUUGCAGUCAAGAUCUACCGUGUUAAUUUUUUUGCUUUAUUCUGCAACGUUGUAUUUCCCCUCGCUCUUGUUUUUGGGAGGGCGCGUGGAAUUUACUUUGUUCCUGAAGGCGCAAAAACUCCUUUCCUGACUUCCCUGGAAGCACUGGCGGUAGUUUUUCUCAGUGUUUUAUCAAUCCUGGUCGUGAGUGAUGUCCUGCGGACAUUUUCAGCCCCUCUCAAGCAUUACUAUUUAUAUCCGAGAUGCAUGUACUUUUGAAGUUGGAGGGGAUGGUGUUUGUAUGGAAUGUAAGGUGGAGGUAAGGAAGUUUUCUGAUUCUGAGUCCCUUUUCCAAGUACUCUGCUCCUUGCUGAUGUCUUGUCUAGGACCACACGUGUGGCAUCUUUAAUUUUUAGAGAUUUUGGCUUGCAUAAAUUUUCUGUCUUUACUGAGGCUCUCAAAAAGAUUUGUUAAAGAUUUAUUUUUAAUAAGAAUUUGUGCUUGUUAAAGCACAGACCAAGUGCUUUCCAAUAAGUAUCUCUGCUUUAAAACGUGGCGUGUCCAGAAUAAUUUUUAAAUGGAGGCUCUUCCCUAUUCAUUGUGUUCUGAUUUUUGUGAACCUACCUGGAAAACGGAUUUCUCUCUGACUGUGAAUUCAGUCACACACACGCCCCUUUGCUCUCCUAGGAAAUAGAUCUGUUGUUGCCUGAGAAAUGUACUUUUCUAAAAUUAUUUCUGACUUUUUGGCACCUUUAUAUCCAUUAAUACUGCAGGUAGUUUUAUGUAAUUUAAGGAGCCUGCUGUUCCAUUAAAUUAUUGCAAGUUGUGUCCCUUUGGCUUUUCGAUGCUACAAACCUGUAAAAUCUUAAAGCUGUGGCUUUAAGAAGCGGUUGGAUUGAGUUAGACACAACCUUCAUUUAAACAAGGAAAUAAAGAGCCACUGAGAAAUGCCUAGAGGAAAUAUUUCUCCUGGAAAGCCUAAGAUUGUAAGACUCUUAAUUUACUCUUAAUUGCUGAUAAGCUUCAUUUUAGGAAUAUUUCUUUCUCUGUGUCAGGAACUUGGACUCUGCAGCAAAAUCUGACCAAUCCAGUGCCUCGACACCAUUUUCUUUCCUCUGUUUUUCUCACUUUCAGCCAUUUUCUGUUUCUGAACCUCGGAGGGUUAAAAGAGGGGGGAAGGAAUCGGGAGUAGUGCUUUGGGAAUUAGGAAGUCUCUGCUGUGAUUUUUUCAUUCCCCAGAUUUGUUCAUUUAUGUAGGAUUUGCAUUUUUACAAACAGAUUUUUUAAUUCCCGUAGCUUACCACCAGGAUUGCAGAAAUGAAUUUUACUGAAAGCUAGCUCAUUUCAUUUUACUGAGAUGGCCAAAGAUAUGUUUACCAGGACAUGUUUGGAUCUGCUUAUAAUAAAAAAAUUAAAAAUCAAGUAAAAUAACUUAUCAAUAGUUUAUUUAGAAGUUACGUGAUAUCUAGUAUCUUAAAUAAGCUAUUGGUCAGAGUACUUGAUUUCAGCAAUAUCAGAAAUUUUUUUUUCAUGUUCAAGAAACAAAUUAUUUUUGAGCAGUGAGACAGGGAAACAGGUUUUAUUUGCCUUAAUCUCUUGUCAUUUUCCUCCAGUCUUUUGAAGACCCCAUAAUGUUUUACUAAUUUAAGUAUUAUUUGGAUUCAGUCAGAGAGUUUUACAUGCUUGAAUUUUAAUGAAACCCUAACACUUCAUCUGCUGAAAAAGAAAGAUGUGCAAUGCUUUUUAUUUUUUCAGGGCUUAUAUAAACUUGAGUCUGAAGUAGUUUUGGGGUGUAAUACACAGGAAACAGGUGGCAUGUAGGCACAGGUGACUAAGUGCAAGAUUCCCUAAAUCUGAGUGAGAAUAAAAGUGGAGGUUCCUCAGGUUCCAGCAAGGUUCAGCUGCAUUUCUUUGCUUUUUGCAGGGGAGUCUGAGAUAAAAGAAUGCUGCCACAUCAAAGCUGGAUGUGAGCAAGACCUCUGUGCUGACCAGCUGAGGAUUGCCUUGAGAGUUGCUAUUGGUAAUCAAGAUGCUUUUGCAGUUCUCAGGUUACAGCUUGAGCUGGGUGGAUCUGCAGAGUGAGCACUACACCAAAAAUUAACCUUCAAUCCCAUUCAGGCUACCCAGCACUCAACUCCCAGGUUCAUCAGUAGCUUCUGGUCAGUUGUCUCUUUCUUUGGUUUUGUGGGGUUUUUGGGAUUUUUUUCAUCUGACAUUACCUCAAUUCUUGGAGUUGUUUCCUUGGUCCUUCCUUACCUUUUUCAUUCUGCUUUGGGCUAGUUGAACAUUAGCAACAUUAGCUUUUAAAAAAAACCUUUUAUUUUGGUCAGCUCUUGUGGCCUAAUGCUGUAAGCACUCCAGCCAUGAAUGCUAAACUACUUAAUAUAUCAUGAGAAUAUGGAGAAAACAGUUAAUGAAAAUGUCCUGUAUAAUACUGUGGAGUAACACAGGAUGGAAAGCUCUGUUGUCAGUUAAAUUGUUAUGGCAAUACCAGUUUUUAGUAAUAAAAACAACAAACUAAAGGAACAUUGAUAUAUAAAAACAAUGCAAACUGAGCUUGAAUUAAACCAGUUUGCACAUUAAAAAUGCAAGCCCAUCUGGCUGGGGGCCUCAGCCCCCAGUCUGUGAUGACUGAUAGGGUUCAGCAAAACAAAUCCUGCAGCUCCAGGGACAUUGGGGUGGUAAAAGCCAUGCCCCAACCUUGCUCACUCCACACUGGUUUCGUCUGUGCCACCUAUGGUGCCCUGCAUCACAGCCUAAAGAUGCUUUUAAGUUUGGCUCCAGAGACACUGGUGCCACCAAAGACCUGCUGAGGUGAGCGUGGCACUGCCCCAAUGUUGCUGUGAGAGUACACGUGACACAAAGCAGAUCUGUCAGAAACUUCAUCCAAGCCAUUAUUGUGCCCAUACGCAGCAUUUUUAUACCCUUCUGACCCCAUGGUGCACCCCAUUUAAUUUGCCAUCACCACACCACCCCUCAAGUCCAUUGGUGGCAGCGCUGUUUUGAGAAAGUAUCCCCAAAAAUCCAAAAUACAGAUAGAUUUUGUUUUUCCAUGGUGUUUUUCUCAGCACAGAUGUUCCUUGUUUUCCUCUACCUUUAUCUUCUUUUUCUUCUUCUCACAGACACACAAGAAUCCUGCUGGCUUCUUCUUUCUGUUAACUCUCUCAUCCGCCCCUCAUCCUGCUGUGGGCUCUCUCCACACCCCAACACUUCUUCCUCCUCACCUUUCUCAUCUGGGUCACCUGUGAUGCUUUCACAAGUUUACAUGUAUUGACAAUGUUCAGUUCCAUAUCUGUUUCCCAGUCCUUCAUGUUCUUUUCCCUUAAGCAUUGUGAGGUUUUGCUACUCCAUUAACGUGAAGAUGCUUUUUUAAUGGGUUUGAUCACUUUGUCUUUACACAUCAGCCAAGUCUGUACUCUGUGGUGCUGUCCUCUGUUCUCAUGUGGAGGAUAAUGUAGUUGAGAUAUUAAUAUACCCAAUUAUAUAUCGUCUGUGUCCUUAUUGCUUCUCUCUCCACAUUUUAUUCUUGCUCAUCACAAUCUGUUUCUGCAGAUCUUCCAUUUCACUGCAUGCUAUCCCCAUGCCAUGAAUACUUGAUGUAUUUAUGAGUAUCCUCUUUCUCUCUGCCCAUGGAUUUUUAUUUUUAUGCUAUUCCAAGCACAGCACUUAUCCAUCAAGAUAGAUCUUUAAUGCUAUACAAAACUUUGGCCUGUAAGAGCUUCAACUUGUGAUGCCAUCAAUAGGAAAGUAAUUGAUCCAGAGGGCACAUGAUAUACUUUCCAGUAAGUGUUCCAUAUGAUCCCAUUGAUUUGAGGGCAGUAUGCCAAUGUUGUAAUGAAAACAAGGACCUAGAGCCUAAGGCAUGAUGUAAGAAGCAUGACAAAAAAAACCAAACAAAACCAAACACAAAAAACCAAAAACAAAUAAACAAAACAAACAAACAAGAAGUGUUUCUGAGACAUAGCUUUUCAGGAACAGCCAAAAGUCAAACAUAAAUCUUUGUGUGUUUUAGAUGUCAAUUCAGUGUGCUGAGGUCUGAAUGUUUCCUGAGUUAAUUCAGACUACUGCUAAUAUAUGAAAAACAGGAAAAAGGAAUGUUUUUGGAAAAAAUUAACAUCAUUAUAUGGAUAUGGACUAGUCUACUUCCAGGAGAGAUGCAUUUAAAACUUUAAGAGCAGUAACUAUGCAGACACCAAAGAGAAAUGGAGGUGUUGCCAACACUUGUCACUCUCAGGCUCCUCUGGUAUUUUCAGUCUAGGCCAAUAUAACAGAAAUUUUUCCAGAACAAAAGUGUCACCCCCAGCACUGCAUCCAAUGUUUGAAAACUAAGAGAGUCAGCAGCAUUUCCAGGCCAGUCCUUGCUGUUAUCUGUAACUGGGAUCUUUAAAUGGGAAGAAUAGGAAGUUCUUAACAUCCUUAUAAUUUUUUUCUUAAAUUAAUUAAGUUUAAUGCCCCUGAAAUGCAUUGCUGUAAGACUACAUCAGAAGUAUUUCAUAAUACACAGUAUUUUGCAAGCACCUGUAUAUGUUGUAUUUUAAGAACACUUCAAGUCCUUAAACUUUCUGUCCUCAACAGUUUAGGAGGUGGGGCUGGUUCAGUUUUUUUAAACACAUUAUAAAUAAUGUUUAAGAGUACUUUUUAUCCUCCUUUGUUUUUUGCUUUCUAAAUGUAACAGGCUCAUGUGACUGGAAGGUGUCAUACACAUGCUAAUGGAUCAAUCACUUUCCCAUAGAAGACUUCAAUUUAAAUGCAGGAAUUAAGUAAAAAGUUGGCUAGUGGUGCUUGUAAGAAAGUGAUCAAUUAGGAAAGCCAAGAGGGCCUCAUGUUAGGGAAGAAUAAAAAUCAAUUCAACUAUGAUACAUCCCUAAGUGCCGGAGUCACAAUUCCAAAACACGCAGUUGCCUAAGUUAUAAAAUAGGUUCUAUCAGUAGACUUACAGCUUCAUAAAAGAAGGCUGAAGACUUUUGAACAAAGUUGUCUGCUGGAGUGGGAAAUAGAAAAAGAGCUAAAAGAUAACCACAGAUAUUAAAACAAGCAAGUAAACAAACCAAUGAACCCAAACACAGAAUUGUUUCAUUAUGUUCCUGGGUUUGGAUAAAUCUAUCUUACAAAAAAGCCAGCAAAUUCCUUUUUGAACAUGUAUCUGCCAUGCUUUUGACAGGAUAAGCAAGAGGAGGUAAGGAAGGACAUAAAUUUCUUAGCCUAAAAUGUGAGAGUCAAUCGUAAGAAUUAAGGAUGCUGGGGCAUAAGGGCAUUGUUAUGGCAGCACAUUCUUUUUCUUCUCUUUUUCAAAGAAGUUGCAUAAAAUUUGCCACUGAAAAUAUUUUUUAUAAUGCUAUGAGUUCUCAGAAUAUGAAGACCAAAUGCAAAUUAAAACAGAAACCACACCAAAAUAAAAACCCUAAAAGGUUCUUUGGGAAAUUCUUCUUUUCACACUUCUUGAAGACUUAUUUCUAUGCUAAUAUUCCUCUAUUAACUAUAAAGAUUAUUUAUUAUUACCAAAAAUCAAUAGAAACUUGUGAAAAUUUUUGCUAUUACGUAAAAUGCCAAGCGGUCCCAAAUGUUUUUAAUCAUGAAAUUGAAUUGAAUCUCAAUAUAAAUUAGAGUAUCUGUGUCAGAAAGGAAAAAGCUAUUAGUUUAUGCAACUCUGCCUUAAUCCAGGAAACUUGGUAGUACUAGAACAUUGAUCUGUAGUUUAGCAUUGACAGUUAAAAAGGUGAGUGGUGUUCCUAUUUUAAAUGGUGCAUGUUUAAGAAGGAGAUAACCGAAAAAUGUGUGUGUGAAACUUGAAAUAGUCCUUCGCUUCCACUACAGUGCGGAACAAGAACAAGUCUCCUACUUCCCUAGUAGGAAAUGUUAUAGAUACUAAUUAUAUUGUUGGCUUUUCUCAAAUAUUAAAAUGAAUGUUAUAUGUAUAAGGUUAGAAAACUUGUUAUAUUAAUCUAGUUCCUUCUAUUUCUGUUACUGAUGAAACUUAGAAAUAGUAGUAUAAUAUACAUAUAUGUUGAGCUAUGGCAUAGUAUUAAAACAAAAACUACUUUUGUUUGUAUAACUAAAAAACUGAAAAAGAUAGCUGGAGACCCCCCUGCAUUCGUAAACUAUCUUAUCCAGAUGAAGACAGCAGUGACCAGAGCUCUGGGGGAGGAAUUUAUUGCAUUUCUGGUAUCAGGGAAUGUAAAUCUCGAUGGCACCUAGAAGACUGAUCUAUUGGGAAGGGGGCAAGAGAAAACUAAACAGAAGAACACCAAAGAUCCUAAGAAGAAUGUAUGAACAUGUAUGAGAAUUUAUGGAUAUGUAUUAAGGUUCUGUUUUUAAGGGACAAUCCUUUGUUAAUAAAGUGUACUCUCUUGGCUGAAUGCAGAGACA